rnacentral:rRNA from 1 species
UAGCGAAGGGGCGAGCGUUGUUCGGAUUUAGCUGGGCGUAAAGGGCGCGCAGGCGGCUCAUUUUGUCAGGCGUGAAAGCCCCGGGCUUAACCUGGGAACUGCGUUUGAUACGGAUGGGCUAGAGUUCGGGAGAGGAGAGUGGAAUUCCCAGUGUAGAGGUGAAAUUCGUAGAUAUUGGGAAGAACACCGGUGGCGAAGGCGGCUCUCUGGGACCGAGACUGACGCUGAGGCGCGAAAGCGUGGGGAGCAAACAGGG